UAUAUAGAAAAAUAAAUCUACCGUUAAAGUGGUGUCAAGCUUUUUUAGAAACAUCAGAUUUGUUUCCACGGCAGAAUUAAUUGUCCGAUUUGAAUAGAAAACAAAAUUUUAAGAAUAUGUUUGUCGAAUGAGAUAGCAGAUUUUUUAUAAAUGGUAGAUUUUUGUGGUCGACUUAUUUUCUUAUGCACCGACUUAUUUUCUUGUGUUCGACUUAUUUUUUACGGCAGAGUUAUAUAUCCGACUUAAAAUUGUUGGUAAACUUUUUUUUGUGUGGUGACAGACUUUUUAAUUUAUGGUGUACCAGAUUUAUUGUCGGAAAUCUGGGUUUAUAUAAACCAAACUUAAUUUAAUGUUCAUUUUCAAUCUGAUUUACAUUAAUUUUAAAUAUUUUCUAUUUUUAGGUUAAUUAAGAUGAGAGAUUCAAACUCAAGUAAUUUCUCAUAAAUUUAUGCAAAAUUUUCUCAAAUAAUUUCCAAUUAACCAUCAAUAUAAUCAGGAACGAUCUUGAAAUUUUGAGAACUAUAAAAAAAAAUUAGUUUAAAAAAACUAUAAAGUUUAAUAAAUGUUGGUAUAAAUAUAUGUUCUUUACAAAUUUGAAAGUUUUUUAGAAAAAAUGGAGACCAUAA
rnacentral:lncRNA from 1 species